GGGUGACGAAAGGCCUUUGUCCACCUCGGAUGAAGCCACCUGGGCAUCUGGUGGGUGCAGACACCCUGCGGAGGUGUGGAUGAAGACGGGCGGAGAAAUUAGAGCGGGCUGUCCCGUGGCCCCUCGCACCACACCGGACAGGGAAGUGACAUCGCAUGCGGAGUGACGCCGGAUGCCCACGCUGCCUACAGAGCUCACUUCAGAGUCGUACUCAGCCACGGGGGUCAGCAUGGGGAUGUUGUAGCUCUUGGAGCGCACUACUGGGUUACUGGAGGGCAGGUCUGCAGACUUGGACCAGCAAUACUGCAAACGCCUCUCUGGAAAGAUUUUUAAGAAAUUAGUAAUACUGCUUUUAUACUGGAGUAGUACAGUUCUGACUUACUUAAAAUGUAUCAGUGGCUGAAUCACAUACAGUAUGAUCAGAGCAGUAAAUGUUUAUGGGUGGAGAACAUGACUGCAAGAUUUUUAAAGGGACAGUUCAUCUAUUUAUUAAAUGCAAGUUUUU